GAUGACGACGUGGGGGAGAGAGACAGCGGGUAGAUGAUGCCACACCCCCCGCAUACGCUGUGCACCCCAUACUUCAUCUGCUCCCCAAAACAGGCCUCCAGACAGUCCCUCACAGUCCCCUCCCAGACAUCCACACUAUGGGGCCUCACCAGAACCACCC